rnacentral:rRNA from 1 species
AUUGAACGCUGGCGGCAGGCCUAACACAUGCAAGUCGAACGGUAACAGGAAGCAGCUUGCUGCUUCGCUGACGAGUGGCGGACGGGAGAGUAAUGUCUGGGAAACUGCCUGAUGGAGGGGGAUAACUACUGGAAACGGUAGCUAAUACCGCAUAACGUCGCAAGACCAAAGAGGGGGACCUUCGGGCCUCUUGCCAUCGGAUGCGCCCAGAUGGGAUUAGCUAGUAGGUGGGGUAACGGCUCACCUAGGCGACGAUCACUAGCUGGUCUGAGAGGAUGCCCAGCCACACUGGAACUGAGACACGGUCCAGACUCCUACGGGAGGCAGCAGUGGGGAAUAUUGCACAAUGGGCGCAAGCCUGAUGCAGCCAUGCCGCGUGUAUGAAGAAGGCCUUCGGGUUGUAAAGUACUUUCAGCGGGGAGGAAGGGAGUAAAGUUAAUACCUUUGCUCAUUGACGUUACCCGCAGAAGAAGCACCGGCUAACUCCGUGCCAGCCGCCGCCGUAA